CCUUUUUUUUAUGGGGUUCCAUUAGUGCCAAAAUUAUGUUUAUGCGUCUUCUGACGUGUUCAUGUGUCCAUGUAUGUGUCUAUGUAAGGUGUAUAUGUAUCCUGCUUAUGUAAUGGAAGCUGCAUAAAUUAUGUUUAUGCGU